rnacentral:rRNA from 1 species
UGAAUACGAGAUGCUAAGGCGUCGAAGUAGUGUAUGUCAUACUUCCAGGAAAAGCUUGCACUGUCAUAGAUAAAAAAUGCCUGUACCAUAACCGACACAGGUGGGUAAGUAGAGUAUACUAAGGGGCGCGAGAUAACUCUCUCUAAGGAACUCGGCAAAAUAACUCCGUAACUUCGGGAGAAGGAGUGCCUUAUUCUUAAGGUUGCAAUAACAAGAUCCAAGCAACUGUUUAUCAAAAACACAGGUCUCCGCUAAGUCGUAAGACGAUGUAUGGGGGCUGACGCCUGCCCAGUGCCAGAAGGUUAAAGAAGUUGGUUAGCAAUUGCGAAGCUGGUAACUGAAGCCCUGGUGAACGGCGGCCGUAACAAUAACGGUCCUAAGGUAGCGAAAUUCCUUGUCGGGUAAGUUCCGACCCGCACGAAAGGCGUAAUGAUUUGGAUACUGUCUCGGAGAGGGGCUCGGUGAAAUAGACUUGUCUGUGAAGAUGCGGACUACCUGCACCAGGACAGAAAGACCCUAUGAAGCUUUACUGUAACUUGAAAUUGAAAUUGGACUUUAUUUGCGCAGUAUAGGUGGGAGGCGUUGAUUAUAAUCUUGCGGGAUUAUUGGAGCCAUCAGUGAGAUACCACUCUUGUAAUGUUAGAUUUCUAACUUUGAAUCAUUAUCUGGUCAAAGGACAAUUUCAGGCGGGCAGUUUGACUGGGGCGGUCGCCUCCUAAAUGGUAACGGAGGCGUACAAAGGUUUCCUCUGAACGGUUAGAAAUCGUAUCUAGAGUGUAAAGGCAUAAGGAAGCUUGACUGUGAGACCUACAAGUCGAGCAGGGACGAAAGUCGGUCUUAGUGAUCUGACGGUACUGAGUGGAAAGGCCGUCACUCAACGGAUAAAAGUUACUCUAGGAUAACAGGCUGAUCUCCCCCAAGAGUUCACAUCGACGGGGAGGUUUGGCACCUCGAUGUCGGCUCAUCGCAUCCUGGGGCGGUAGUACGUCCCAAGGGUUGGGCUGUUCGCCCAUGAAAGCGGUACGCGAGCUGGGUUCAGAACGUCGUGAGACAGUUCGGUCCAUAUCCGGUGUAGGCGUUAGAAUAUUGAGAGGAGCCUUCUUUAGUACGAGAGGACCGAGAAGGACAUACCUCUGGUGUACCAGUUAUCGUGCCAACGGUAAACGCUGGGUAGCUAUGUAUGGAGUGGAUAACCGCUGAAAGCAUCUAAGUGGGAAGCCCACCUCAAGAUAAGUAUUCUCA